rnacentral:lncRNA from 1 species
GUUCUGGGUAGAGGAAUCCCUGCCUGCAAACACAAGGAUGCAAAGAGCUUGCGUAUGUUGUUUCUUACUAUGUGUCAGGCCCCAUGUGAAGUAUUGGAGUACAGAGCUGAGUAAGCUACAGUCCAGCCCUCAGGGACCACACAAUCGGAGUGGAGGGGACCACCAAGGACAGGAGCCCAUCCCGGAAAUGGUUCUUGGCACCUCCUCCAGGACUCUCCCAUUGCUGAUCUCACUGCCCAGUUACUCCGUCUCCCAGACCACCCAGAAUCCUCAUGCCCAACUACAUGAGCAUUAUUCAUCUGGCCCAUUUUCAAAUGCCUGUUUUUUGACAGACCUCCAGAAUUAAUACGUAUGUAACAGUUUUCAGGCCACACUUGGAACUGCAGUGCCCUCCAGCCCCAGCUUGAAGUCUCUGCAUGUGGUCUUCUCUUGAUAUACUUUAUGGAAUUCAUUGGAAACUUUCUGUCAGUGUUCCUCCAGUUGUCUAGGGAUGCACAGAGGAGCAUUUCUGUGAAGAUGACGCUAGAAUGAAGAGGCCCCUCUGUGUGAUGAUGCUUGCAGGCUGAUUUGGGUGAGGACACCAGUUCUAUUGUCUAAGUAGCUUCAUGAUCCUGACCUUCUUACCUGAAUGUGGCCUUGACCUGAAGCUAGAGCAAGGUUCUUUAUUGUGAUGUGGCCCACGCCAAUAGUUCGGGGAAGCCUAUGGAUCUCUUCUCAGAAUGUUUUAAUGUUUGAUGUUUUAAGUGCAGAAAAUAAAACCUCACAGAAUUUC